rnacentral:rRNA from 1 species
GACGAACGCUGGCGGCGUGCCUAAUACAUGCAAGUAGAACGCUGAAGGAGGAGCUUGCUUCUCCGGAUGAGUUGCGAACGGGUGAGUAACGCGUAGGUAACCUGCCUGGUAGCGGGGGAUAACUAUUGGAAACGAUAGCUAAUACCGCAUAACAGUAGAUGUUGCAUGACAUUUGCUUAAAAGGUGCAAUUGCAUCACUACCAGAUGGACCUGCGUUGUAUUAGCUAGUUGGUGAGGUAACGGCUCACCAAGGCGACGAUACAUAGCCGACCUGAGAGGGUGAUCGGCCACACUGGGACUGAGACACGGCCCAGACUCCUACGGGAGGCAGCAGUAGGGAAUCUUCGGCAAUGGACGGAAGUCUGACCGAGCAACGCCGCGUGAGUGAAGAAGGUUGUCGGAUCGUAAAGCUCGGUUGUAAGAGAAGAACGAGUGUGAGAGUGGAAAGUUCACACUGUGACGGUAUCUUACCAGAAAGGGACGGCUAACUACGUG